rnacentral:misc_RNA from 1 species
UUGCAAAACACAGGAAACUCAC